ensembl:ncRNA lncRNA:CR45652 long non-coding RNA:CR45652
GGGCGUAGAAAUACUUGCAAAAUACAAAUAAAAUUAACUAAAACUCAAACUCAAAGCAAACUCUGAGCUAAAGUCCAACACGGGGAUCCAUCCAUUGUUGUUAUUGCUGUUGUAGUUGUUGUUUUGGGCCAAAAGCUUACCGGGAAAUUUUUGGAAAACGCUCAACUCUGAAAUAAUUAAAAACUAAUUAAAGGGGCGGACGAGUGGUGGGCAUGUGGCAAGCUGUUGUAAAACUUAAUUAACUAAAUGAGUGCAAGCGCAACAACAGCUAAAACAAAAUAGCCAUAGAAGUUGUUGUCCAAGCACACACACGAGGCGUAUGAGUAAUUUAAUCAUGUUUCAUGCUGUCCUGGCCAAGUGAAGUCGGUCCAGAGCGCUGCGUUUGUUGACACCCACAAAAUGCAAUUUGCGCCACAAAAGCAAACAAAGAAAAUCUUAGAAAAUGGGGGAAAAUACGAGGCGGCAAGCAAAAGUCAAACAAAGUUAUAUUCCAGAUUGGAUUUUAAGUUUUCGGAUUAGUUGCAGCCUGGCAGAUGCUUUUAGCAUAAUAAGAGCGAAAGAAACAAAACAGGGGAAUGCGUAUGUUUACCAAGUUGUAAAAUUCUUUACUCCUUAAAAUUGAAUAAAACAAAAAAU